AGUGAACGCUGGCGGUAGGCCUAACACAUGCAAGUCGAACGGCAGCACAGUAAGAGCUUGCUCUUACGGGUGGCGAGUGGCGGACGGGUGAGGAAUGCAUCGGAAUCCACUUUUUCGUGGGGGAUAACGUAGGGAAACUUACGCUAAUACAGCAUACGACCUACGGGUGAAAGCAGGGGUUCUUCGGACCUUGCGCGAUUGUAUGAGCCGAUGUCGGAUUAGCUAGUUGGCGGGGUAAAGGCACACCAAGGCGACGAUCCGUAGCUGGUCUGAGAGUAUGAUCAGCCACACUGGAACUGAGACACGGUCCAGACUCCUACGGGAGGCAGCAGUGGGGAAUAUUGGACAAUGGGCGCAAGCCUGAUCCAGCCAUACCGCGUGGGUGAAGAAGGCCUUCGGGUUGUAAAGCCCUUUUGUUGGGAAAGAAAAGCAGCAGGUUAAUACCCCGCUGUUCUGACGGUACCCAAAGAAUAAGCACCGGCUAACUUCGUG
rnacentral:rRNA from 1 species